rnacentral:rRNA from 1 species
UACGUAGGGGGGCAAGCGUUGUCCGGAAUCAUUGGGCGUAAAGAGCGCGUAGGUGGCCCCAUAAGUCCGCUGUGAAAGUCAAAGGCUCAACCUUUGAAAGCCGGUGGAUACUGUGGGACUAGAGUACGGAAGAGGCGAGUGGAAUUCCUGGUGUAGCGGUGGAAUGCGCAGAUAUCAGGAGGAACACCAAUAGCGAAGGCAGCUCGCUGGGACGUUACUGACACUGAGGCGCGAAAGCGUGGGGAGCGAACAGGG